rnacentral:lncRNA from 1 species
CAGAAAUACAGAUGAUUUUACAUUAACAUUGAUAUCAAUACAUUAUCAGUUUGCUGCUCUCUCGCGCCAAAUUUUAGAUCUAGAAUAUUCUCCUUCAUGAAACUACAUAGUCAAAGAACAGUCUACCUUUUCUUUAACAGAUAAGUGUCUUUGAAGCAUCCUUUCAGAUAUCUGUUUGCUGACUGUACUGAAGUUCAGUUUCUAUAUCUAAGUGCCUUGCAUGCAUCCUUUCUUCUUUCUCUGUGCUGGGAAACUGUUGCAAAUGGUUUUCUUUAGCAGGGUCAGGAAGUAUUUUUCCAUUUGGCUACUCUUUAUUCCUGCUUUUCAUUUACAGACUAAUUUCAUAGUUAGGCACUAGGCAGCUGCUCUUCUAAUGUGUGGACUGGCAUAGCAAAUAAUUUUAUUAUGUCUACAGUGCACCAGGUUGCAUUAUAAAGUUUCAGACAAGGCUAUCUCCUUCCUCUCUCUUUCAUAGCUUUUAGCUAUGCCUAUGCAAUUAAAUGGGGGAGCUGACUCUGCGGACAUCCUGAUAGAUACAAAGAGGGAUAGCUUCUUUGAACAGCAAGAGUAUCGGUUCAAGAUUAGUUUAAGCCAAUCUAAUUGCAGGCUGCUCCUGUUGACCUUCAUUGUCUCUGUUUCUCCUCCUUCUCAGCUAAUUUUCAGCAGAAGCACUUCUCUGAACCCAUUUCAUGGCAUGGCUUUGUGCAUGCCAGUGAUGGCAAAAGAAAAAAGCAGGAAGGAAUGGGAGAGAGGAGAAAAUAGCUGUGGUAUCAGGACUUGCAUGGUGCCAAGCCAGACUAGAUUGGUGAUGUCAGGCAUUAUGAGCUACUGCAGUGCUUGCCGGCUUGGGUUACCUUCUGAAGUCUGCUGCAAGAGGAUCAGGCUGGAAAGAUUACCUUGUUGCAUUAUAAACAAACACUAAACCUUCUAAAGAGAUUUCUCAUCUGCACUGUUUUGCUGGGACUAAUGUUAUGUGAUGUUGAUUUGAAAAACUAGUAGAGCAGCCAGCCUUUCAUUUUUCUCAAGGAGGAUGCUGAAACUAAAUCAUUACUCUGUUGCUGAAGUAAAGGAAUUUUGCAGGAGUUACUCAGCAGUGAGGACCCUAAGCUUGCUCCCAGAACAGCUUGGUUUAAUGAAAAAUGACUGCUGUGUGAAUAAAAUCCUG